GACGAACGCUGGCGGCGUGCUUAACACAUGCAAGUCGAACGGAAAGGCCCUGCUUUUGUGGGGUGCUCGAGUGGCGAACGGGUGAGUAACACGUGAGUAACCUGCCCUUGACUUUGGGGUAACUUCAGGAAACUGGGGCUAAUACCGGAUAGGAGCUCCUGCUGCAUGGUGGGGGUUGGAAAGUUUGGGCGGUUGGGGAUGGACUCGCGGCUUAUCAGCUUGUUGGUGGGGUAGUGGCUUACCAAGGCUUUGACGGGUAGCCGGCCUGAGAGGGUGACCGGGCACCUUACGACUGCGAUACGGCGCAGAAUCCAACGGGAGGCAGUGGUGGGAAACCUUGCGCAGUGGGCGCGAGCGUGAUACGGAGACGCCGCGUGCGGGAUGACGGCCUUCGGGUUGUGAACAGCUUUCGACUGUGACGACGCGUGAGUGACGGUACUGAGUAAAGAAGCACCGGCUAACUACGUG
rnacentral:rRNA from 1 species